rnacentral:rRNA from 1 species
AUUGAACGCUGGCGGCAUGCCUUACACAUGCAAGUCGAACGGCAGCACGGGUUCUUGCACCUGGUGGCGAGUGGCGAACGGGUGAGUAAUACAUCGGAACAUGUCCUGUAGUGGGGGAUAGCCCGGCGAAAGCCGGAUUAAUACCGCAUACGAUCUACGGAUGAAAGCGGGGGACCUUCGGGCCUCGCGCUAUAGGGUUGGCCGAUGGCUGAUUAGCUAGUUGGUGGGGUAAAGGCCUACCAAGGCGACGAUCAGUAGCUGGUCUGAGAGGACGACCAGCCACACUGGGACUGAGACACGGCCCAGACUCCUACGGGAGGCAGCAGUGGGGAAUGUUGGACAAUGGGCGAAAGCCUGAUCCAGCAAUGCCGCGUGUGUGAAGAAGGCCUUCGGGUUGUAAAGCACUUUUGUCCGGAAAGAAAUCCUUGGCCCUAAUACGGUCGGGGGAUGACGGUACCGGAAGAAUAAGCACCGGCUAACUACGUG